rnacentral:rRNA from 1 species
UACAGAGGUGGCAAGCGUUGUUCGGAAUUACUGGGCGUAAAGGGCGCGUAGGCGGUCUUGUAAGUCCUGUGUGAAAUCCCUCGGCUCAACUGAGGAACUGCACGGGAUACUGCGAGACUUGAGUUCGGGAGAGGGAAGCGGAAUUCCGGGUGUAGCGGUGAAAUGCGUAGAUAUCCGGAGGAACACCGGUGGCGAAGGCGGCCUACUGGGUCAGUACUGACGCUGAGCCGCGAAAGCCAGGGGAGCGAACGGG